rnacentral:rRNA from 1 species
UACGGAGGGUGCAAGCGUUAAUCGGAAUUACUGGGCGUAAAGCGCACGCAGGCGGUUGGUUAAGCGAGAUGUGAAAGCCCCGGGCUCAACCUGGGAACUGCAUUUCGAACUGGCCAACUAGAGUACGAGAGAGGAAGGUAGAAUUCCAGGUGUAGCGGUGAAAUGCGUAGAUAUCUGGAGGAAUACCGGUGGCGAAGGCGACCUUCUGGCUCGAUACUGACGCUCAGGUGCGAAAGCGUGGGGAGCAAACAGG